GAUGAACGCUGGCGGCGUGCCUAAUACAUGCAAGUCGAGCGAACGGACGAGAAGCUUGCUUCUCUGAUGUUAGCGGCGGACGUGUGAGUAACACGUGGAUAACCUACCUAUAAGACUGGGAUAACUUCGGGAAACCGGAGCUAAUACCGUAUGAUAUUUUGAACCGCAUGGUUCGAAAGUGAAAGACGGUCUUGCUGUUACUUAUUGAUGGAUCCUCGCUGCAUUAGCUAGUUGGUAAGGUAACGGCUUACCAAGGCAACGAUCCAUAGCCGACCUGAGAGGGUGAUCGGCCACACUGGAACUGAGACACGGUCCAGCCUCCUACGGGAGGCAGCAGUAGGGAAUCUUCCGAAAUGGGCGAAAGCCUGCCGGAGCAACGCCGCGUGAGUAAUGAAGGUCUUCGGAUCGUAGAACUCUGUUAUUAGGGAAGAACAUAUGUGUAAGUAACUGUGCACAUCUUGACGGUACCUAAUCAGAAAGCCACGGCUAACUACGUG
rnacentral:rRNA from 1 species